rnacentral:tRNA from 1 species
CAAAAACUCGUAUACACUAAACUAAGAACGAAAAUUUAUCCAUU